rnacentral:rRNA from 1 species
UACGUAGGGGGCAAGCGUUGUCCGGAAUCAUUGGGCGUAAAGCGCGUGUAGGCGGCCCGAUAAGUCCGCUGUGAAAGUCCAGGGCUCAACCCUGGGAUGCCGGUGGAUACUGUCGGGCUCGAGUCCGGAAGAGGCGAGUGGAAUUCCUGGUGUAGCGGUGAAAUGCGCAGAUAUCAGGAGGAACACCGAUGGCGAAGGCAGAUCUCUGGGCCGUAACUGACGCUGAGGAGCGAAAGCGUGGGGAGCGAACAGG